GACGUAGGGCGCGAGCGUUGUCCGGAUUUAUUGGGCGUAAAGAGCUCGUAGGCGGCUUGUCGCGUCAUACGUGAAAUCCCUCAGCUUAACUGGGGAACUGCGUCUGAUACUGGUUGGCUUGAGUGCAGGAGAGGAACGCGGAAUUCCAGGUGUAGCGGUGAAAUGCGUAGAUAUCUGGAGGAACACCGGUGGCGAAGGCGGCGUUCUGGACUGCAACUGACACUGAGAAACGAAAGCCAGGGGAGCAAACGGG
rnacentral:rRNA from 1 species